UCAGCUAGAAAUAAUCACAACUUCAGAUUCUCUCCUGCCAUGCUUCCAAACACACCCUAAUACCCUAUCUUAGAUUCUCACAUCAUUAAAAAAAUCCACUUUCAAUCCUCCAACCCUCUUUUCAGAAACUGUCAUUCUCAUAUUAGAUUCUUCUGAUAAAAAUCACUUAUAAAAAAAGCACUUCACAGUACUACUACACAGAUUCCACGGCGGGAAAACGCAAUUUAUUUCAUCAAAUUCCAACAACAAUAAUAAUAAUUCAUAAUUCAUUCCUAAAAAAUUAACAAAAAGUAAAAAGAAAAAAACACUCACGAGUUUUCUUCUUCUUCUUCUCUCUCUCUGAAACAAACACAAAACCCUAACAUUGCAAAAUUCCCUUUCUUCUUCUUCUUCUUCUUCUUCAAUGGCAUUCCCUCCCGAUGAACCCGUCGGAGGACUCGCCACCGAAGAAGACACCACCAUUGACAUCCACACCACCCACGGCGCCCCCAUUCGCUACCUCCCUCUCGAUCAUCUCUACUCUUCCACAUCCCCUUGCAGCGGCUCCUCCAACGUCAUGUCCAAAAAAGUUAAAGCUCGUAAACUCACCCUAACCACAGCCACUACUCCCAACCACAGCGAAGACGAUAACAAUAAUAACAUCCACUUCAAUGGUGAAAUCGAAAUCGAUAUUGAUUAUCCGAUUGAUGAUGAUAAGAAAACCACGUCUACAUCUAUGGUGGUUUACACUAAACCGCCUCUUCUGUAUGUUUACUCUCGGAGAAGAAAGAGGAGUUCGAUUCCGGUGUCGUUUCGCGAUUCGUUGUUAAGGAGGCGGGAGGAGAUGGAUGCUGAGAGGACUGUGUUGAAGAGGAGGAGAAUUGGGAAUAAUGAAUUGGAGAGAUUAGGGAUUGAUUGGAAUGCGUUGGGGAAAAUUGAUGGACCGAGGUUGAGGGAAUGUAGGAAUCCAAUUGGGAAUUCUGGUGUUGAUGGGAGGAAUAAUGAUAAUAACAAGUGUAGUUCUGCUGUUAAGGUUCCGAGGUUGGCGCCGGAGUCUUACUCGAUGAAGCGAUGGGUCGCGUUGAGUUUUGAUGGCGCCGAUCCCAAGGCUUUUGUCGGAUUGAAAUGCAAGGUUUACUGGCCCAUGGAUUCAAAAUCAUACACUGGCCAUGUCAAAAGUUAUGACAGGGAAGCCAAUAUACAUCAUAUUGAGUAUGAUGAUGGAGAUGAGGAAAAUUUAACUCUUUCAAAUGAAAAUGUAAAAUACCAUGUUUCUCGAAAUGACAUGGAACGCUUAAAAUUGAGUUACGCCAAAGUUCGUGACAGUAAUGUCUCUGAUUAUGAUGUUGAAGAGAUGCUCGCACUGGCUGCAAGCAUGGAUGAUUGCCAAGACUUUGAGCCAGGGGAUAUCAUAUGGGCGAAGCUUACAGGUUAUGCAAUGUGGCCUGCUGUUGUCCUGGAUGAAUCACUUGCUAGCAGCUGUAAGGGUCUAAAAACAUUCAUAGGGGGGAGAUCGGUUCCUGUCCAAUUUUUUGGCACCCAUGACUUUGCAAGAGUUCGACUGCAACAGGUGAAAUCAUUUCUCAAUGGACUUCUAACAGAUCUACACUCAAAGUGCAAGAAACAGAGUUUCAUCGAUGGUUUAGAAGAGGCAAAAAGGUAUUUAAGUGCACAGAAGCUUCCUUUGGAGAUGAUAGAACUGCGGAAAAGAUGUACAGCUGAUAACCAUAACAAUAUAAGGGGAGAGAAUGGAGGAUGUACAGAUUCUGGUGAAGACUGUGUAAAUGACAAAGGGACUUGGGCAGCACUUCGAAACAUUGAUACUUUUCCUUAUGAAGUGGGAGACUUGCAAAUUCUAAGCCUUGGAAAAAUAGUUGGAAAUUCCACUGCUUUUAGGGAUGGAAAAUCCAUCUGGCCUGAAGGGUACACAGCAGUGAGGAAAUUCACUUCAGUUACUGACCCUAAAGUAUCCGUCCCUUAUAAGAUGGAGGUUCUGAGAGACCCAGAAUCCAGAAUCAGACCAUUAUUCAGAGUGACAGUUGAUGGUGGUGAGCAGUUCAAUGGUUAUACGCCAUCUACUUGCUGGAAUCAAAUAUACGAAAGGAUAAAGAAAUUGGAAAAGGUUGUUUCUGAAAGUUCCGUUGCUGAUGGUGACAUAGAAAGUGUCUACGAAUCCGGCUCUGAUAUGUUUGGUUUUUCCAAUUCUAAAGUGGCUAAACUUAUUAAGGGAUUAUCUAAGUCCAAAGUCUCUUUGAAGAAAUCAACGUGCAAGUCAGGUUCCGGAUUGCCUCUUGGUUAUAGACAAGUUCAUAUUAAUUGGUUUGAUCUCGAUAAGUGCAAUGUGUGCCAUAUGGACGAGGAGUAUGAGACCAAUCUGUUUCUGCAGUGUGACAAAUGUAGAAUGAUGGUCCAUGCUAGAUGCUAUGGAGAAUUGGAACCUGUAAAUGGAGUGCUAUGGUUAUGCAAAUUAUGUCGUUCGGGUGCUCCUCCCCCACCAUGUUGCUUAUGUCCACUCAUAGGUGGUGCAAUGAAGCCUACUACAGAUGGCCGGUGGGCUCAUUUGGCUUGUGCGAUGUGGAUACCUGAAACUUGCUUAGCUGAUGUCAAGAGAAUGGAGCCUAUUGAUGGUUUGAGUAGAAUCAGUAAGGACCGUUGGAAAUUGUUAUGCAGCAUAUGUGGUGUAUCUUAUGGUGCCUGCAUCCAAUGUUCAAACAAUUCUUGUCGCGUAGCGUAUCAUCCACUCUGUGCACGUGCAGCUGGUCUUUGCGUUGAGCUUGAAAGCGAGGACAGGCUCCAUCUACUAUCCCUAGAUGACGAUGAGGAUCAGUGCAUUCGCUUACUUUCUUUUUGCAAGAGACAUAGGCAGCCAUCUCAUGAAAAUUCUGUAGCCGAUGAACGUGUUCAGAUUAUUGGUCAAUGUUCAGAUUAUAAACCACCACCCACUUCAUCUGGUUGUGCCCGAAGUGAGCCAUAUGAUUACUCUGGUCGGAGAGGCAGAAAAGAACCUGAAGUACUUGCAGCUUCUUCGCUGAAACGUUUGUUUGUGGAGAAUCAACCAUAUUUAGUUGGUGGAUACUGCCAACAUGGAUUGUUGAACGCCCUAGAGCCUUCUGGCAGAGGAGUUUGCUCUAAAUUCUUUUGUAGCGAGCAAAGGCUAAGAACGUCGAUGAGUGAUUCUGCAGACAACAUACUUAGUGUUCCUGAGAAAUAUAAGUACAUGAAGGAAACCUUCCGGAAGCAGUUGGCAUUUGGGAAAUCAAGAAUUCAUGGAUUUGGCAUCUUCGCAAAGCAUCCAUAUAAAGGUGGAGACAUGGUGAUUGAAUAUACCGGUGAACUUGUUAGACCUUCUAUUGCUGAUCGAAGAGAGCAUUUUAUAUACAAUUCUUUGGUGGGUGCUGGAACAUAUUUGUUUCGGGUUGAUGAUGGAAGAGUCAUUGAUGCCACCAGAGCAGGAAGCAUCGCUCAUUUAAUUAAUCAUUCCUGUGCACCAAAUUGCUAUUCAAGAGUCAUUAGUGUUAACGGGGACGAGCAUAUUAUAAUAUUUGCAAAGAGGGACAUUAACCAAUGGGAAGAGCUUACAUAUGAUUAUAGAUUUUUCUCAAUAGACGAGCGGCUUGCUUGUUACUGUGGCUUCCCAAAAUGUCGAGGUGUAGUAAAUGAUACUGAGGCAGAAGAGCGAGCUGCUACCAUAUAUGUACCGCGAAGUGAAUUAGUAGAUUGGAAAGGAGAAUGAGAUUCUUGGCGAUAAAUUUGGUCACUUGCCGAAGGAUAUUUGUAAGAAGCAAUUAAUAAGAAAGAUUACCUUGCAAUCUACUAUGCCAAUGGAACCCUUGGAACCUUAAGUUGUCUUGUCUCUUACAUCCUGACUCUAGAUGUAGCAGAUUUUUGAUCCUAAUAUUAUGCCAUGGAUUCUUGAAGAUGGACCUUUGUCCAACAACUUCUGUCAUGGGCUCAGCCAUUUUUCCAAAAUCCGGCGUUGUCAAUAAGUAGUCUGAGUCUCUCCAUUAAUUCGUAACCCCAACUGAGCCGGUUACGCUGGCUCAAGGGUGGUUCCUCGGUAUUCUGGUUAUGGUAAUCAGAAAGAAAGCAUUUUUUUUAAAGUGGCUUCAUUUCAAAUUCAUUUCCUCAUUUAAGGAUUCUGUUUAAGGUCAACCAACUUGCUGGUAUGUUGUAACUUGCCAUUGAAUAGGUACAGUUGAAAUUAUAUACAAAAUUUAUGCGAAGAAAUUGAGAAUGUGAAUGUAUGUAAUGUAAUCGCAGAUUGUGUGCCUCUGGAAUUUUGAAACGAUAAAUGUAUGUACAUAUAUACAACUAACAAGCAUGGAUAGUCAUUAUUGAAGCCAAUACUAUGUCUCCAUUAAAGGUCAAUAUAUCUUAGGUUUUGAGCUUGUAAGUUGAGAAUUUCCUUUAACUUUAGAAACUCUGGUCAAUAUGAUAUUUGGGUUUUUCCUAUACACCUCUCGAGCCAAAAGUCUAUUAGGCUUGACACGUGGAUAAUAUGGGUGAUCCAGGACAGACUCGGAUAAUGAGUGAUCCAAUAACGAAUCUAGGAUAGACUCGAAUAAUAUGGGUGAUCCAAUAACUGAUCUAGGUCAGGCUCUCACACUCGCUUAGGUUGUAAGUUUAACUCAACUCUAUAAAGUGACAUUGUUAGUCUAUUUAAAGGUCUCUUAUGAGUGAAAAUAUUUUAGUUUUAUAAAAUUUUAUAAUGUAAAUAUCUUUUUAAAGGUGAACCUAACCUUUUAAAGAGUCUGGCGGACAAUAUAGUUUAUUUUGAAAUAGAGCCUUAAAAUGAAUUUAAAAUCUAAUCCUAAAUAAGCACAUGGGUUUAAGUCUUAAUAUAAUAAGUUUAAAUUAUUGAAAAUGUAAAAAAGCAAAUGAUUUAUCUAAAGAUACAAAACUAAUAUAAUUAUAGUAAAAUAUCUAUAUUCACUAGAAUAAGGCAUUAGCCAUUUCGUUUGCAUUCAAGACUUUUCUGAUAAGCACGUAGUAUCAUAUAUUUCUUUAAAAUAAGCUUUGGUCUGAUUUAUUUUAUCAAUAAAUUUGAUGUAGACUAUGUCAUAUGUCCUUAAUAGUGGUUGUCGAUUCGGACAAAUGUUUGCUAUCUUUGAACUUCGUUACCUUGGUGACUUUCUCACUAUCUCUUUCUAACCAUUCAUUCUCAUUCAUAAAAUAAGCUUUGAUCUGAUUUUUGUAUCAAUAAUUUGAUGUAGAAUAUGUCACAUGUCCUUAAUAGUGGUGGUUUAUUCGGACACGGAUUUGUUUUCUUGGAACUUUGCUACCUUUGGCAACUUUCUCUCUAUCUCUCUAACCAUUCCUUCUCACUCAUAGCAAAGGUACCCAAGACACCAAAUAUUAUAAAGUUAGCUAAUCCUCUCGCUUGUCUAUUUCUACCCAUAAUAUAAAGUUAGCUAAUUCAUUUUGGCUUAAA